GGAGGAUUAGCUCAGCUGGGAGAGCACUUGCCUUACAAGCAAGGGGUCGGUGGUUCGAGUCCGCCAUCCUCCACCA
rnacentral:tRNA from 1 species